CUUUUGGUUGAUUCCAGCUGGGUCAUUCUUAGGUUCCAUGACAUGAGCUUUAACAGGGAAAUAAACUGAAAGUGGACUAUUUAUGAAGUACCUUAUGGUGGAACUGAGUAUUUUGACGAGGAUGUCUUUGUUUUUCCUGAAAUGGUCAAAUACAGGCACAAUUACGAAGGUAGUGACUGACCAAGAUAUAGUGGUCACUGAGAUGGGUAUCAUGGUGGUCACUGAGAUGGGUAUCAUGGUGGUCCAAGAUGGGGAGAUAGGGGUGGUGCUCCAACAGAGUAGCCACAAUUUCAGGUUUAAAUCUAGUCCCUUAGUUAUAAAUGAACUGUUUAUGGCUAUAUUUAUCUGAAUAAGAUAAAUUUUGUUCAUGCAUAUUGUGUUGUUUGUCACUGAUAUGCAAUGCCUGAGUUGUGCAUGCACCUUGUCUUGUUUGUCACUGAUAUGUAAUUCCAUAUAUGAUUUAGGUAUGUGUUAAUUACUCUUUUAUGAAUUCUAUUAGUCAAUAAUGUAAGUCUAAUACGUUAACAGUAUUUUGAAUAUAACAUGGGUGAUUAUGGAUUCUUUACUCUUUUGUUACUCAACCAUGAUUGUUUAUUUAGUUCAUGGUAUUCAUUUUCUCUUCAUUAAUAAUGAGUCCAUCAUGUAUCAGUUUGUUUCAAGAUGAGACUCUUCUUUUCUUCACCAACUAAGCAUUAGCUUUCUGACAUUUGAUGUUAUUCAAGUAUAGAAGAAUUUACAGAACACUCCUUUUCCCAUGAUUUAAGAUGAUUUAGCUAGAACAUACAGGGAAAUCUAAGAUACUUUCAACCUAACUUUCAAAUUUUGAGUAACUUUUCACAUUAUUUGGUAGCAGGAAAUUUAGCAGGUCAUACUAUGUUGGACCGUGUAUUUCUGUUUAACAUACCGCUUUCUAUACGAGUGUAUUCAUAGUUUGACACACAUAAAUGAAAAUAUCUUCCAAUGUUUAUGUAUAGUGACUCUUUGUCUCUACUGAUUCUCGAUACUGGUACGGUGGGGGCAUGAGUUCAGCUAAAGCCGCUCUAGAGAGUGACACCAGGGUAAGUUUAUCUUAGAUACGUGUGAACAUGGAAAGCAAUACAAUCAACUUCUCAAUACUCUCAAUACAAAAGAAACAGAAGAAACACAAUCACCUAGCAAGUUAUCGUAGUAUAGUGAACCCUUUCUAACUAGUUUAUCUUAGAUAUACAUGGAAUUUGAUUGUUAGAUGGUGUUGCAGAUUUAUUAGCAAUUAUCUCCAAUUGUAGAAGAUUCAAAUGUUCCACUCGAACAGAUUGCAUUUACUGCAAUCAGUCAGGGCUUGGUCUUCGUGGGUUCGUGCCACGUGGAUGUUGCAUUGUCCAUAAUACUUUCCUUGAUGGACCGUAAUGAAGCUGAGCUUGGGGAGCCUCUCACAUAGAUUUUACCACUCAGACAUGGUCUUCUGUUUCUUGGG